UUGUGGCCAUAGCGUGAGAGACACAGGGAGAGAGGGAGACAUGCAGAGAGGUCAGUCCACCAAUCCAAAACAAGUUUGGAUCUAAUACAGUUAGGAACACCACAUGGCACCAAACAUCUUGUUCAUUUUAGUGCAUUCCCAUUCUUUGUUACUUUUUAUUUGACAGCUUGAAUAAUGAAUAUUUUGCAUUAUAUGAUACAUUUUUAGUAAAUAUACCCUACAGUAUAUAAAGUAAUUUAAAUACCAUGACCAGCUACAAGAUUAAAAUGAUGCUUACAUGUUAAUGCAUCAGCAAUUAAAAGAAUCAUUUUGAAUAUUGAAUAUUUUUAACUGUGCUUCAACUUUGUUUUACCAAAGUAUGUUUAACUCAGGGCUGCAUCAACCUGAAGCGGAGUUCAUUCCUGUAAACCAGACGAUAAUUCCCAUAAAUCCAAAAUUAAUUUCAGUUUCCAUCUGACAGGCGGAUGGGAAGUUAUUCACAUGGAAUUCCCCCCGUUUGGAAAAACCUAUUAGUCUCCAACAUACAGUAUAUCAGUCAGUCUCUCGGCGGGGAAGGCAAGGGGACAGAUGCGCGUGUUCUCGGCUCCCGAUUAUGACAGUGGUGCCGGGAAGCAUUGCAUCGUGGGACCCAGAAGUGACCGCAGUUACCAUGACAACAACAGUCAAACACGCAGAUGAUGUCCCGCUGCAAGAUUCCUCUGAUUUCCUGGUGCGUUGUGAUUCACUCACAAACUAUGUGUGAGGUGUACUGAUACACAGAGCAUCAAAGGUGUUUCAAUCGUUACAUUUCCUGUACUUUCAUUGUUUGUCAUUUGUGAGUUUAUGCUAACUUUCCCUCUGUUUCAGGUGUUACCGUCCAUUUUAUGUAUCUUUCAGCAAUGUUUAGGUUACAGAUCAAGCCACAGAGCAAGAACAAUUAGUGCUCUACACUAUGUCAUACAUAUACCAAACGUGUUGUACUGUACAUACAGUACUUUGUGUCUUAUUCAUAAACACGCUGUUUAUGGCACCUACAAGAUAGACCAAAUUUGAAUGUAUUUGCAAAGACAGGUGCUAAAAGAUUUUAAAAAAGGGUUGUUAUACAUUAUAACCUCUCAGCAUCUGACUCAUUACAAAUACAUUCCGGUUUGUUCGGUCUAUCUUGUAGAUACCAUAAACAGACAGAUUAUAUAACUUGUUGAACACGUCCCGCUACAUUCGAUAAAAAUUGAACACUUAAUUAAAGUAGUUAUUAAUUUACCAUAGUGGUAUUCUAAUAAACAAUUUAUCAUAAUAAUCUUAUCUUAUACUUCUAUAAACAGGAUUGAUAAAAUGUAUAAGAACUUUUGUGGAAAGAUUAGACAAAAUACUUUCAAGAGCAGGAAAAUAAUCAAGUCCAGACCCAACAAUAAGGAAAAAAGGAUUAAAAAAAUUAUCCAAAGCCAGUCUUGCUGGUCUCACAGCCAAGACGCACUUAGACACAUGGCGAGCAGGAAGGACAGCAGACUCACUAUACAGUGAUGAUGACUCUAUUCAAGUGAAAGUAGCUACUAUCUACCCAAAAAGUUAUUAGAUUUAGGAUAUCCUCUGUUUUUAAAUAAAGUAAAAUUAGUUGCAAAAUCUAGUGACAUAGGUAAAUUGGCUAAACAGGAAUGGGUCACCUUGAAACUUUCAUGCACAUACAUGUCUACUAUGUGUCAAUAUUCCGUAAGUAAGGGGCAUUUACUGGCUGCUGCAAAAAAAAAAAAGAAAAAAGAUUUUCUCAGGCAAGACAUUUCUCUGUGUCGGGUUGUAAUGGUUAAGUGCCUCAUAUCCUUUUCAUUCUAGACUGAGGAAAACAACUUAAAGGGCUGUGCUCUCACUCUCACUCUCAGGUUGCAUUUUGGCUCCAGGUCAUAAGUCACCUGCAGAGUGAUCUCUGUACUGGAAAAUGCUUCAAAUGCAAACAGAAAUUUCUCCACAAUGUUGUUUUAAAGAAAAAAAAAUUAGUAGUAUUAUGGCUGAUUUUAAUUCAUUUUAGGGAUUGUGGUUUUGAAAAAUACCUGUAGUUUCUCAGGACAAAGUGAGCUGGUUUGUGGGGGUUUUUUAAAAAUCAGAAGAAAAGCAGCGAUGAUGGAGCUGUUGAUGACAGCUGUUGAUGUAAAACAGGUCUUUCAAAAGAACAAAUCUGUGGGAACAUUGGCAGGUAUCAGUGAGAACAACAGACUCCUUACUAAGGAAAAAAGACUAGGUUAAAAGUCAGACAUGCAGCAACUGAUCAUAUCUGUUUCAUAUCCGAUUUGUGGUUUUAUAGGCUUGUUUCUGCUGUAUUUCUCUCUAUUAGAUGAUUAUAUUACCACACCAGUUUUUUUUCUGCUUGUUUCAGCACAUUUGCUACAAAGUUUUACUGUAACGUACUUAGAUUUGGAAAGCUCUUCUAAGAAGAUCCAAUAUUGAAGACUUCAGACUCAAACAGCAGCCUGCCUAAACUGAACAUUAACCUGUUAUUCCAUACUUGAUCCUAAAUUGUCUCAUUUGUUCCAAAAAAUUGAAAUAGUUGGCAGUAUCUUAUAUUCUGUUCUGUAUGAUCAGUAUCUUCAGUGGGGAGGGGAGUUUAUCAGUGUUACAGUUUUGUUUACUAUCUCUACUGACAGCAUCAUUCAACCAUGAAUAGUAGAUAACAUAGCUUCUUCUUAACAGAGCAUGCAUUACCGCUUUAACACAAACACAACAGACAUCAAAUAGGACUCAUGACAUUUAGUCAUUUGUUCAUUCUCACUUUUGCAUUUGAAUUUAGUUCUGUUUGCAGCAUGCAUGCACACAUGCACACGUCCUACAUGCGGCUUUGCACAGUGACAGGCAGACAUGAGGGUGUGACUUUUAAACACAUCCUGGAAUAGGUUGUUGCUUAAUAUCCUUGAGUGAAAACUACAUUACAGGGACAAUUUCCCAUAAACUGUGUUGCAACACAUUUUAUGAAUGGAAACGUUUUAACCAACAUUAGGGGUGUAGAUUCAAAAAGCGAACCAAAAACAGGAAUUUAACUAAGCUUGUGUAAUAUCACAUCCUUCGUUGGAGAUAAUGUGGCAAUGGUUUAAAGGCCUCCACUCAGGCUGUUAUAGUAGCAGAUUAAUGCCAUUGGUUUUGGAAUGCAAUAUUUUUGACUUUUUGUGUGGGUGUAUUGUAUAUCUUUUACCCUGGCUGUCUGCUUUAAAAGUAUCGCAUAGGGUUUUCCUUGCAGGUUGGAGCAUCAUCUCAUUAAGUUAAACCAUGCCUGUAAGCUGCCAUGUAGAAAUGCGUCACCAUCUUUGGCAAUAAACAUUUUCCACUGACAAAAACUCCACGUUAAUAAGCUGGGUCAUGUGUACGCCCUUGUCCAAUAUCUGCAUAUUCUGCUCUUUAGUCUUAAGAUGUUACUCUCUUGCUUUCACUCCUUCACUGCCCUCACUACUCUGCUACGCUGAAUGCAUUUUUGCUUGCUCAGUCUACCUCCACAGCUUCCAAUCCCUGAGGGGGGAUUGGCAGUAAUUUCUCCCUGAGGGCUCGUCUGCUGCUCAGUAUGUUUCACAGAAGUUAAAAUACACUGAGCACAGAUGCCAAAAGUAAAUUGCAUUGACCUUUUUCUGUAAACUCUACAUGUGUAAGAUCCAAACCAGACUUUGUUUUCCUUAACAGAAGCUGAACCACCAUCUUUUUCCACAGUUUUUUGUGUAAAUAAAAACAGCAAUGUACUGUGACUUGUUAUGACAUGAGAUGUAAGUUUCUGUGUGUGUGUAUGUGUUUGAGCGUGACUCUGUUUUUCCCAAAGUAAUCUAUGUGUGUGGUAAAUAUCCCGAAGAAACAGGGAAAACCAACAGCACUUAAACUAAACAUUUCCACCAAAAAAUGGACUUUACCAAAACAUUCAUUUUGUAGUGUAGGGACACUCUGACAGUGAAAGUUGUUUCUUUUCUGUCUUCCAUUUGAACUUAUCGAGUCUCAUUCUUUCCAUUUUGCAAUAAUGUUCCAUUUUCAGAAAUUGACAUAAGGUAAUAGUGUCCAUGUUCAUGAGUUGUCAUUUGGAGCUUUUAAAAAAGCAUCAAAGGCAUGCCAAUGAAGUGAUUGUGCAAUGUGGUUUUUAAAAGGGGGGAAAGGACUCUAAUAAAAGACUAAUCCUUUAUAUAAAAGUUUCUUAAGGGGCAGACUUGACAACAACUGUGUUUCAUUUGUUACAGCAUGGGGCAAAUAUUCGAAAGUAUCUAAUCAUAAAGCCCUUCCAUAGUGAUAAGCAAUAUGCUAACAGGGUUACAGAGGUUGAUGGAUGUACACUACUGUAGUGGAAUUUUUAACUGGACAAUGAAGGAGGAAAAUAAAGUUCAUUUGAUAGCCAGAAAUGCCUGACUAAAGUAGGUCAUCACAGGUGUUAUGAGGAGGAAUGAGGAGGAUUGUUAAUAACAAACACAAGGAAAAAAUGGAUAGACGUGAGCUUAUAUAUGUAUGUCAUGAUAUAAUAUUUUGUCAGUUUCUUUGAUUUCUACAGUUGAGAUGCUUUUGGGAAACGGGGCCCCUGAGUGGAAAGUCAUAUCUCAACCUGGUGGCGCCAUCUAGUGGUUAUUCUACAAGAUAAAAGAAAAGAUACGACUCAAACAGGCGGUGGAAGCAGACUGCAAAACCAACCUGCUGCAGUAAAUUAAUGAAACUGAAACAAGCAUGGAGGCUGAUAAUGAGAUUCUUGAUUGCUAUCCCAGUUUGCAACAGUGUCAGCAGUACUCUGGCAUUAGCGGAUGGCCAAUAGCUUCCACAAACUUCUAAGUGACUGCUGUUCUACUGAGUGCUUUUACAAUGAAAUAUUACACCUAUAAUCAAGGCUUUUUUCGUGGCCUAGCGUCUUCUAUAUUUCAUUACAAUUCAUUUAAUCUGCUUUAAUUUUGUGAGUAGCUUGUAAACAAUUUUUUUUUCCUAUGAGUUCAGUGGACAACACAGAGUCGGUAUA